rfam:Trichobilharzia regenti genome assembly, scaffold: TRE_scaffold0000501
GUACUUAUGAAGAGUCUCGGACUAGGACGAAACAGCUGUCCAGUAC